GCGUCCCUAAUACAUGCAAGUCGAGCGGACAGAUGGGAGCUUGCUCCCUGAAGUCAGCGGCGGACGGGUGAGUAACACGUGGGCAACCUGCCUGUAAGACUGGGAUAACUCCGGGAAACCGGGGCUAAUACCGGAUAAUUCUUUCCCUCACAUGAGGGAAAGCUGAAAGAUGGUUUCGGCUAUCACUUACAGAUGGGCCCGCGGCGCAUUAGCUAGUUGGUGAGGUAACGGCUCACCAAGGCAACGAUGCGUAGCCGACCUGAGAGGGUGAUCGGCCACACUGGGACUGAGACACGGCCCAGACUCCUACGGGAGGCAGCAGUAGGGAAUCUUCCGCAAUGGACGAAAGUCUGACGGAGCAACGCCGCGUGAGUGAUGAAGGUUUUCGGAUCGUAAAACUCUGUUGUUAGGGAAGAACAAGUACCGGAGUAACUGCCGGUACCUUGACGGUACCUAACCAGAAAGCCACGGCUAACUACGUGCCAGCAGCCGCGGUAAUACGUAGGUGGCAAGCGUUGUCCGGAAUUAUUGGGCGUAAAGCGCGCGCAAGCGGUUUCUUAAGUCUGAUGUGAAAGCCCCCGGCUUAACCCGGAGGGGUCAUUGGAAACUGGGGAACUU
rnacentral:rRNA from 1 species